rnacentral:rRNA from 1 species
AUUGAACGCUGGCGGCAGGCCUAACACAUGCAAGUCGAGCGAGCGGCGGACGGGUGAGUAAUGUAUGGGGACUGCCCGAUAGAGGGGGAUAACUACUGGAAACGGUGGCUAAUACCGAAUACUAGCGGAUAACACAUAUGGGAUUAGCUAGUAGGUGGGGUAAAGGCUCACCUAGGCGACGAUGUCUAGCUGGUCUGAGAGGAUGAUCAGCCAAACUGGGACGGAGACACGGCCCAGACUCCAACGGAGGCAGAAGUGGGGAAUAUUGCACAAGGGGCGCAAGCCUGAUGCAGCCAUGCCGCGUGUGUGAAGAAGGCCUUAGGGUUGUAAAGUACUUUCAGCGGGGAAGCGUUACCCGCAGAGGAAGCACCGGCUAACUCCGUGCCAGCAGCCGCGGUAAUUC